AAGGUCCACCUUCUCUUCAGCAAAUUCCUCUUACAUAGAUGUCUUCUGAUUACUUCCUCACACCCCUCAACCAACUCUCUCUACAUGAACUAGUGGUUCAAUUGGAAAAAAAAAUCUUUUUCUUUUUGUUUUCACUACAUUUAUAGACCUUCUUCAAGCUAUCUUUAUUUAAUCCUUAGAAGAACUCACUUAUUUACUCAUAGCAUCCCUCGCCCAAUUCUUUCUCUAAAGCUUCGACCUUAGACAAGAGCAUGUCCUCUCUCGUACGAAACUCUAUCCUCCGUAAGCAUGAAACAGUUCAAAGUUACUACCCUAGCCAGAUAGGGGGACACCUCAAUAAAACCUUUAAGAUGGUCAAAAGGCCCCAUCUCAGCCAGUGAUUUGCGGUCCCCAUCAAUGAUCAAUCUAAACAUUUCUUAUAAAGAUAUUAAUGGGAAUAACCAAAACUUAUGUCCUACAAUAUCAAAUAACUUUUCAAAUUCUAUAAAAUUUUAUAUGCCUGAUAAUAUCUCUCAUAUCAACACUCAAAACGAUUUAUUACUUGAUAAUAUCUCUCAUAUCAACAUUUGAUUUAGUACAUUAUUUACAAAUAACUAUUGAAAGUAAUAAAAUAGAUAAAUAAAUUAAUCUACUAAGUUCUAGUAUUUCAGACAAUAUUUAGAAAAUUUGUUUUUGUUAUGUCUCAUGGUUUAAGACUCUGUGCAACUUUUCGGUUAAUUCUUUACUCUCAAGUCCUUCUCCAUAUGAAUAUAAAGAAAUUUGAAAGAUCAUUGAUAGUUCUAUUAAUUCACUCAUUGUGGCACAACAGUAUCCCCUAUAUAUAAAAGUCAAUAUCAU
rnacentral:lncRNA from 1 species